AUUGAACGCUGGCGGCAUGCCUUACACAUGCAAGUCGAACGGCAGCGGACCUUCGGUGCCGGCGAGUGGCGAACGGGUGAGUAAUAUAUCGGAACGUACCUUUCAGUGGGGGAGUAACGUAGCGAAAGUUAACGCUAAUACCGCAUAUUCUGUGAGCAGGAAAGACAGGGGAGUCGCAAGACCUUGCGCUGAUUGAGCGGCCGAUAUCAGAUUAGCUAGUUGGUUGAGGUAAAGGACUCACCAAGGCGACGAUCUGUAGCGGGUCGUGAGAGGAUGAUCCGCCACACUGGAACUGAGACACGGUCCAGACUCCUACGGGA
rnacentral:rRNA from 1 species